rnacentral:rRNA from 1 species
AGAGUUUGAUCCUGGCUCAGGAUGAACGUUGGCGGCGUGCCUAACACAUGCAAGUCGAACGGUAGGUUUGUUUUCGAACGAACUGAGAGUGGCGAACGGGUGAGUAACAUGUAGCUGAUCUGCCCUCAAGAGUGGGAUAACUGCUGGAAACAGGAGCUAAUACCGCAUAAGCUCACAUGGAUUAGAAGAGUGUGAGAAAAGGAUUUAUUGCUUGAGGAGGAGGUUGCAACCCAUCAGCUAGUUGGUAAGGUAAAGGCUUACCAAGGCGACGACGGGUAGGGGACCUGAGAGGGUGACCCCCCACACUGGGACUGAGACACGGCCCAGACUCCUACGGGAGGCAGCAGUGAGGAAUAUUGCACAAUGGGCGCAAGCCUGAUGCAGCGACGCCGCGUGGGCGAAGAAGGUUUUCGGAUCGUAAAGCCCUUUUCUAUGUGACGAGGAAGGACGGUAGCAUAGGAAUAAGUGUCGGCUAACUACGUGCCAGCAGCCGCGGUAAAACGUAGGACGCAAACGUUAUCCGGAGUUACUGGGCGUAAAGCGCGUGCAGGCGGUUGAAUAAGUUACCUAUGAAAGCUCUCGGCUAAACUGGGAGAGGUUAGGCGAUACUGUUUGACUAGAGUGAGGUAGAGGCAAGUAGAAUUCCAGGUGUAGUGGUGAAAUGCGUAGAUAUCUGGAGGAAUACCAGUGGCGAAGGCGGCUUGCUGGGCCUCAACUGACGCUGAGACGCGAAAGCGUGGGUAGCGAACGGGAUUAGAAACCCCGGUAGUCCACGCUGUAAACGAUGUACAUUAGGCGUUCGUGUGCCUACGGGUAUGUGAGUGCCGAAGCAAACGCGAUAAAUGUACCGCCUGGGGAGUACGGUCGCAAGGCUAAAACUCAAAGGAAUUGACGGGGGCCCGCACAAGCAGCGGAGCGUGUGGUUUAAUUCGAGCCUACGCGAAGAACCUUACCUGGGUUUGACAUGAUAGUAGUACGGAAGCGAAAGCGGAAGGACCCUUCGGGGAGCUAUCACAGGUGCUGCAUGGUUGUCGUCAGCUCGUGCCGUGAGGUGUUCGGUUAAGUCCGCAAACGAGCGCAACCCUCGAUGUUAGUUAUACGUGUCUAACAUGACUGCCCGUGACAAACGGGAGGAAGGUGAGGAUGAUGUCAAAUCAGCAUGGCCUUUAUAUCCAGGGCUACACACACGCUACAAUGGUCGGUACAGUGGGUAGCGAAGCCGCGAGGUGGAGCCAAUCCUAAAAAGCCGAUCUCAGUUCGGAUUGCAGGCUGCAACUCGCCUGCAUAAAGUCGGAGUUGCUAGUAACCGCGUAUCAGCACGGCGCGGUGAAUACGUUCCCGGGCCUUGUACACACCGCCCGUCACGUCAUGGAAGCUGGUCACGCCUGAAGUCGGGAAGCUAACCUAACGGAGGCUACUGCCUAGGGCAGGAUUGGUGACUGGGACGAAGUCGUAACAAGGUA